rnacentral:rRNA from 1 species
CGCAACCCUCGCCUCUAGUUGCCAGCAUCGGUUGGGCGACUCUAGAGGGACUGCCGGCGACAAGUCGGAGGAAGUGGGGAUGACGUCAAAUCAUCAUGCCCCUUAUGACCUGGGCUACACACGUGCUACAAUGGGCGGUACAAAGGGCUGCGAACCCGCGAGGGGGAGCGAAUCCCAAAAAGCCGCUCUCAGUUCGGAUUGCAGGCUGCAACUCGCCUACAUGAAGCCGGAAUCGCUAGUAAUCGCGGAUCAGCAUGCCGCGGUGAAUACGUUCCCGGGCCUUGU